CGAACACACUGAGGAAAGACAUCAAGGAGAGAACUAACCAGAUAUCAAAGAUGCAGUGGAGUCUGUAUCUGCUUAUUCUGAUGGGUCAGUGUUGCUUCUU